UACGUAGGCAGCAAGCGUUGUUCGGAUGUACUGGGCGUAAAGGGUGCGUAGGCGGGUCUUUAAGUCAGGGGUGAAAUCCUGGAGCUCAACUCCAGAACUGCCUUUGAUACUGAAGAUCUUGAGUUCGGGAGAGGUGAGUGGAACUGCGAGUGUAGAGGUGAAAUUCGUAGAUAUUCGCAAGAACACCAGUGGCGAAGGCGGCUCACUGGCCCGAUACUGACGCUGAGGCACGAAAGCGUGGGGAGCAAACAGG
rnacentral:rRNA from 1 species